UUUGGUUUUAUUUAUAGAUGCCAGAAGUGGGUGGAGAAUUGUAGGAGAGCAGACUUAGAAGAUAAAACACCUGAUCAACUAAAUAAACAUUAUCGAUUAUGUGCCAAACACUUUGAGACCUCUAUGAUCUGUAGAACUAGUCCUUAUAGGACAGUUCUUCGAGAUAAUGCAAUACCAACAAUAUUUGAUCUUACCAGUCAUUUGAACAAUCCACAUAGUAGACACAGAAAACGAAUAAAAGAAUUGAGUGAAGAUGAAAUCAGGACACUGAAACAGAAAAAAAGUAAGUGAUAGUGUUAAUGACUCAACUUCUGAAUGCCUUUUAAAAAGGCCUUGACCUGUUGAUGAAACUUCUGAACAGGAGCAGAAACAUAAAGAAAUAAACAACAGCAAUGCUCAGAACCCCAGUGCAGAAGAAGGAGGUGAAGAA